GAUGAACGCUGGCGGCGUGCCUAAUACAUGCAAGUCGAGCGAACAGAUAAGGAGCUUGCUCCUUUGACGUUAGCGGCGGACGGGUGAGUAACACGUGGGUAACCUACCUAUAAGACUGGAAUAACUCCGGGAAACCGGGGCUAAUGCCGGAUAACAUUUAGAACCGCAUGGUUCUAAAGUGAAAGAUGGUUUUGCUAUCACUUAUAGAUGGACCCGCGCCGUAUUAGCUAGUUGGUAAGGUAACGGCUUACCAAGGCAACGAUACGUAGCCGACCUGAGAGGGUGGUCGGCCACACUGGCACUGAGACACAGUCCAGACUCCUACGGGAAGCAGCAGUAGGGAAUCCUCCGCGAAGGGCGAGAGCCUGACGGAGCAACGCCGCGUGAGUGAUGAAGGUCUUCGGAUCGUAAAACUCUGUUAUUAGGGAAGAACAAAUGUGUAAGUAACUGUGCACGUCUUGACGGUACCUAAUCAGAAAGCCACGGCUAACUACGUG
rnacentral:rRNA from 1 species